GGGCACGUGGUGUAGUUGGUUAUCACGCUCGCUUAGCAGCAGAUAUGCGAGAGGGGUCCGGUUCGAUCCCGGACGUGUCCA